rnacentral:misc_RNA from 1 species
GAUGAAGAACGUAGCGAAUUGCGAUAAGUAAUGUGAAUUGCAGAUUUUCAGUGAAUCAUCGAAUCUUUGAACGCACCUUGCGCUCCUUGGUAUUCCGAGGAGCAUGCCUGUUUGAGUGUCAUUAAUAUAUCAACCUUUUUGGGUUGGAUGUGGGUUUGCUGGCCUUUUGAGGUCAGCUCCCCUUAAAUGCAUUAGCAGACAACAUUUUGCCAACUGUUCAUUGGUGUGAUAAUUAUCUACGCUAUUGACGUGAAGCAAAGGUUCAGCUUCUAAUGGUCCAUUGACUUGGACAACUCUUAUUUAUUAAUUUGACCUCAAAUCAGGUAGGACUACCCGCUGAACUUAAGCAUAUCAAUAAGCGGAGGA